rnacentral:rRNA from 1 species
UACGUAGGGAGCAAGCGUUGUUCGGAUUUACUGGGCGUAAAGGGCGCGUAGGCGGCGCGGUAAGUCAGCUGCGAAAUCUCCGAGCUUAACUCGGAACGGCCAGCUGAUACUGCAGUGCUAGAGUGCAGAAAGGGCAAUCGGAAUUCUUGGUGUAGCGGUGAAAUGCGUAGAUAUCAAGAGGAACACCUGAGGCGAAGGCGGGUUGCUAGGCUGACACUGACGCUGAGGCGCGAAAGCCAGGGGAGCAAACGGG